GUGAAUGUAGCUCAGUAGGUUAGAGCAUCUGGUUGUGGCCCAGAAGGUCGGGAGUUCGAUCCUCCUCAUUCACC
rnacentral:tRNA from 1 species